GGAAUUAAAUGGAAUAAUGGGACACAUUAAUUUUAAUGUGUUAUGUGGGCUCUGCCACAGUACUCAGAUAUUCGGUCAAGCAUAUUCUAGAUGUUUCUGUGAACAGGUAUUUUUUCAAGGUAAGAUUAACAUUUAAAUCAGUGGACUUCAAGUGAAGUAGAUUGCUCUCCAUGAUGUGGGUAGGGCUCAUACAAUCAGUUGAAGGACCUAGUAGAAAAAGACAGACAUCCCCUGAAUAAGAAGGAAUUCUGCCAGCAGAGUGCCUGUGAAUGUGAGCUGCAGUCUUUCCCUUGGGUGUCCCGUCUGCCAGCCCACCCUCCAGAUUUUGGACUUGCCAACCUCCACAAUCAUAGCCACUUACAAGACAGAUGGAGGACAAAGCCACUUAGAAGAUACUCGGAGGACAACCCUACCAAGUGAGAGAGCAGAGCCAAGCCCCAGGAAACAGACUGGACCCAUAGAGGAAACCCUGCAGAAAAAAUGUAAAGAUGACAGAAAAGGUGCAGCUUAAUUGGAUGGACAAGUCAAAAAUCAUAUGACUAAGCAGAAAACCUGGGAAAUGUGCCAUGUUACCAGACAAGGGAGGAGGCAGAGAUAAUUUUUUUGUUUACAAAGAACAAGUUUUCAUCUUGCAGCCUUUAAUACAAAAGCAGGAGAAAGAAAUGUAAUCGUGCCAAGAGCCUGUGGUAUAUUUUCUGUAGUCUGGACACUGUUCCAGGAACCACAGGAGAGAUGCAUCCUCGCAGAAGCCUUGGCAUUUGUCAAAAAAUGAGCAGUGUGGGGCAACAGAGCCAGGCACCCGCAGGAGCCCAGGAAGUACUGGAUGGCAGCUGUUGGAUGGCCCCAAUGACUUUGGAAGCUCGGAUAUCCGUGCUGACUGCAUGCACUGUCUCCUGUCUGGGGAUGAAGUGAGAGGACUCUUCAAUGAAAAAGCACAGCUGGCUCUGAGGUGACAUUUUCUAAAGCAGCCUUGGCAUACAACUCCAUUUACCUGCCUUGGUUUACAGAAGGAAACGAGGCUGCUUCUACCCCACUUCCCUCAACGCAUUGUAGGUCUUGAGUCUUAUGUGAAUUGAUGUCUGGACUGACACAUUUUUGGGUAGAGCAUCCCCAACACACCAGCAGAUGGCUGGCACACCUGUUUUCCUGAGUCUUGGUUCAAAACACAAUUCAGCAUUUCACUUGUUCAGGAUUUCCGUGUCACAUUUUGCACCUUUCCUCGAGACUGUGCAGAAAGAUAAACUGUUUGUGAACACAAAUUAUUGUCAUUUAAAAAUAAUAACUUAUAUUAGUGUUUUUCACAUUUUUCACAUGACAGCUGUCUUAACUUGGGUCCUUAGAAACAAAACCUGAGCUAGGGAUUUUGUGCAAGGGAUGUAUGGCAGAGGGACUUGAUCUCAGAAGGAACCUGCAUGGGAACAAAGAGCAAGAUGGACAGGGGAAAAGUCAGGCAUGGAUAUAGGCUCCAGUGGACUCUAGAUUGGCUUCAUCUGGCUUGAAAGUUCUGAAACACAAAGUGUACCAUGUAGCUGCUCCCUUUGAGGUCAGGUGCUCAUCUUUUCUACUCACAUAUUGGUCAAUCAUCAUCAUUUCCUGGAGGGAGGGGAAAACCUCCAGGCAUUUCCAGGGGGCUCCCCAGAGGGCAGUUCUCCUGCAAAGGGCAUCACUGCAAACUAUUAGCAGCCAACAGUCAAAGCAACUGGAAGACAGGUGCACCAUUGCUCAAUGGGGUCUGAGUGGGAAUGCACAGCACCACCACAGCCCAUUAUGUGUAGGUAAUUACUUUGCAUUGUAACUUAUACACAUAGAUACACAAAUAGAGCUAUAUACUAAA